GUUCAGCCAACAUAGAGGGCAGUAAAAUGUACUUAUUUUGGUUUUGAGCAUGAACACCAGGCUGCUUUUCAAGAGCUCUGCGUUUGAGGUAGUGUCGGUGAGACCGUGGUCUCUGCAAAUGCCAACUUCAGAGAGAGAGAGAGCAAACGAGAGAGAAAGAGUGUGUGAAAAACUGCAGCAAAGAUCAGAUAGCAGGCAAGGGUGAGAGAGAGAGAGAGAGAGAGAGAGAGAGAGAGAGAGAGAGAGAGAGAGAAAGAGAGCGAGCUGUGUUUUAAACGUUCAAAGAGAGAAUCAUUGGCGAGGUGUCGCACCGAAACAUUAGGGAAUCACUGGACGUGCAAGACCCUCAGGGAUGACCAAGGAAGAUUACCGGAACGUCAGAACAAUGCUAGGGAACAUUAAUGGAACAUUCUGAGGUUGUUAGCAUAUAAUCGGCAGCCUUUAGAUAAGAACCUCCUUCGAAUACAUGUGUGCGAGUUUCCAUCUGUGUAUGUGACACUAAAGAUGAGGACCUUGUUGGACAGUCAGGAUCCCUUUUUCGUUUUUGAAACAGUGAUUUUUCCUGUAGGGCAACAGUGAGGAACUCAAUGGAAUCAUGCUUUAGCUCAACUUCAGAUCUCUUUCUUACAUAUUUCCAUGCACACGAAGGGAAGAAAAAAGUAUCCAUGAAAAGCAAAAAGGAAACAGAAUGUUCUCUUCAGAUGAAGUUUCCAUCAACUACCACCACAGGGCACAGGUAUUUACGUCAGAUGGCCAUAAGCGAGAUUAUAUUAUGCAUAUCAGAAUAUAUAUUUACCCACAAAUCUUUCCAAAUGCAACAAAGAACUGUCUCAAUACAAAACCUUUUCACAAUUAAUAUUUUUGUUGGUCUUUACUCAUAGUUAUGCUAUCAAACCACUAAGUGGUCAUUGGAUCUGCUGACAUUUAGAUUGGAAUUAGCUGACAUCACAUCAGGACGUAGUGAAGAUACUGACCCCACUCUCUCCCCUCAACUGGAAAUCUACUUUGUAUUCUCACGGCUAUCAUUGAUAAACGUAUUAAGUGCUCAAUUGUCUCUUUCUCAUCUCUUUUCUCAAUUUUGAGUGAUUGUCCACCUGGAUGAUGACUAAAAUACCACCGCAUGAAGCCGACAGUCACUCCUCAAACAAACACACACACAAAAUUUCUACCAGACAGGUUUCCAUGGAAACCUCUAUAUCCCAGGUUUUCAUGUGAUUCUUUUAAUUUAGAGUAUUGUAGAACUGUGCUGCAUUUUUCUGCAAUCAUGUGUAUGCAUGAAGAAAAUUAUAUUUUCCUCAUUAUCACUGUUGAAUCUGUGGCUUCUUAGCUAUUCGCACUCACCAAUAUAGCAGCACCUGACACUACCCAGCCCCCAGUGUGUGAGAGUGUGUGUAUUUGCGUGUGCAUGCAUGUGAAGUUUGUGUGUUGUGAUGUCUCUGUCAGUACAGUAUGUCUUGGAGCACAGAUUCUUGCAAGUGUGUGUGUGCGUGCAGUAGUCGCACUGAGACAGGCAUCUAUUAUUAGAAAGACAGAUCACUUGAGUCAGGCACUGGCUAGACGCCUAAAUCUGGACCCCACCAG
ensembl:lncRNA